UGACUCAGUUGGUAGAGCGUGGCGCUUUCAAUGUCAGGUUUGUGGGUUCGAUUCCCAU
rnacentral:tRNA from 1 species